CCAGACGGCCGGAUGGCCGCGCCUCGCUUCGGCGGGGUGAGGAAAGUCCGGGCUCCACGGAGACACGGUGCCGGGUAACGCCCGGCGGGGGCGACCCCAGGGACAGUGCCACAGAAAGCAAACCGCCUGUACGCCUUCGGGUUUGCGGGUAAGGGUGAAAGGGUGCGGUAAGAGCGCACCGCGCCUCCGGCAACGGCGGCGGCGAAGGUAAACCCCACCGGGAGCUAGGCCAAAUAGGGGCGGCACGGGCCUUCGGGUCCAGGCGUGUUUUCGCGCCGCCGCCCGGGUAGGCCGCACGAGGCGUUCGGCGACGGGCGUCCCAGAUGAAUGGCCAUCUCCCGCCUCACAGCGGGGACAGAACCCGGCUUACAGGCCGUCUGGCGCU
rnacentral:RNase_P_RNA from 1 species